CGAGUGGCGGACGGGUGAGUAAUGUCUGGGAAACUGCCCGAUGGAGGGGGAUAACUACUGGAAACGGUAGCUAAUACCGCAUAACGUCGCAAGACCAAAGAGGGGACCUUCGGGCCUCUUGCCAUCGGAUGUGCCCAGAUGGGAUUAGCUAGUAGGUGGGGUAAGGCUCACCUAGGCGACGAUCCCUAGCUGGUCUGAGAGGAUGACCAGCCACACUGGAACUGAGACACGGUCCAG
rnacentral:rRNA from 1 species